GACGAUCCGGACGACCCGGACGACCCGGACGACCUUGACGACCCGGACGACGACCAACCACCUCUCAUACCUCCUGUAGGACUUAAGGUGAUAAUGUUAAGUGGAACUACAGCUGUGGUAUACUGGACUGAUCCAACUCUACCUAAAGGACAAACGGCGACAGAUGGGCGUCGGUACGUGGUGCGGUGGGCGGCGAGCGGCGGCCGCGCGCGCACCUACAACGCCAGCGACCUCAACUGCAUGCUGGACGAUCUGCGACCUUACACCACUUACGAAUUCGCGGUUAAACUUAUA